UGGGGAAUAUUGCACAAUGGGCGCAAGCCUGAUGCAGCCAUGCCGCGUGUAUGAAGAAUGCCUUCGUGUUGUAAAGUACUUUCAGUCGGGAGGAAGGUGGUAAGGUUAAUAACCUUAUCAAUUGACGUUACCGACAGAAGAAGCACCGGCUAACUCCGUGCCAGCAGCCGCGGUAAUACGGAGGGUGCAAGCGUUAAUCGGAAUUACUGGGCGUAAAGCGCACGCAGGCGGUUGAUUGAGUCAGAUGUGAAAUCCCCGGGCUUAACCCGGGAAUUGCAUCUGAUACUGGUCAGCUAGAGUCUUGUAGAGAGGGGUAGAAUUCCAUGUGUAGCGGUGAAAUGCGUAGAGAUGUGGAGGAAUACCGGUAGCGAAGGCGGCCCCCUGGACAAAGACUGACGCUCAGGUGCGAAAGCGUGGGGAGCAAACAGG
rnacentral:rRNA from 1 species